UCACUUAUAUACCCACUAUCUCUUCGUCCCUCUUCAGAUUUCUCAUGGCCUUUAUUUCUCACUCUCUUUCCCAAAAUCAUCCUUCAUUGAUGCCAACCACUUGCUGCUACGGCAACAUAUACUAGAGAUUCUCUGCAAUGUGCUCAGCCACAUACCAACUCUGAUUCAAAGAUAAUUGUAGCUAUUAAAGACUUGAAGGCCCCUUCAGACAACCAAGAGACCAACG